rnacentral:rRNA from 1 species
CACCGGAAGCAGAUCAACAGGGAUUGCCCUAGUAACGGCGAGUGAAGCGGCAACAGCUCAGAUUUGAAAUCUGGCGUCUUUGGCGUCCGAGUUGUAAUCUGUAGAGGAUGCUUUUGGGUAGCCACCGGUCUAAGUCCCCUGGAACGGGGCGUCACAGAGGGUGAGAAUCCCGUAUGUGACCGGAAGGGCGCCCUCUACAUAGCUCCUUCGACGAGUCGAGUUGUUUGGGAAUGCAGCUCUAAAUGGGAGGUAAAUUCCUUCUAAAGCUAAAUACCGGCCAGAGACCGAUAGCGCACAAGUAGAGUGAUCGAAAGAUGAAAAGCACUUUGGAAAGAGAGUUAAAAAGCACGUGAAAUUGUUGAAAGGGAAGCGCUUGCAACCAGACUUGUUGGCGGUGUUCCGCCGGUCUUCUGACCGGUUUACUCACCGUCUGCAGGCCAGCAUCAUCUGGGGCCGCUGGAUAAAAGCGAGGGGAAUGUGGCUCCCCCGGGAGUGUUAUAGCCCCUCGUGCAAUACAGCGAGUCUCGGGUGAGGUCCGCGCUUCGGCUAGGAUGCUGGCGUAAUGGUCGUAAGCGGCCCGUCUUGAAACACGGACCAAGGAGUCUAACAUCUAUGCGAGUGUUCGGGUGUCAAACCCCUACGCGUAAUGAAAGUGAACGGAGGUGGGAGCCUUAGGGUGCACCAUCGACCGAUCCUGAUGUCUUCGGAUGGAUUUGAGUAAGAGCAUAGCUGUUGGGACCCGAAAGAUGGUGAACUAUGCCUGGAUAGGGUGAAGCCAGAGGAAACUCUGGUGGAGGCUCGCAGCGGUUCUGACGUGCAAAUCGAUCGUCAAAUUUGGGUAUAGGGGCGAAAGACUAAUCGAACUAUCUAGUAGCUGGUUCCUGCCGAAGUUUCCCUCAGGAUAGCAGUAACGUUUUCAGUU